UGACGGGGGCCCGCACAAGCGGUGGAGCAUGUGGUUUAAUUCGAUGCAACGCGAAGAACCUUACCUGGUCUUGACAUCCACAGAACUUUCCAGAGAUGGAUUGGUGCCUUCGGGAACUGUGAGACAGGUGCUGCAUGGCUGUCGUCAGCUCGUGUUGUGAAAUGUUGGGUUAAGUCCCGCAACGAGCGCAACCCUUAUCCU
rnacentral:rRNA from 1 species